AGAGUUUGAUCAUGGCUCAGGAUGAACGCUGGCGGCGUGCUUAACACAUGCAAGUCGAACGGUGAACACGGAGCUUGCUCUGUGGGAUCAGUGGCGAACGGGUGAGUAACACGUGAGCAACCUGCCCCUGACUCUGGGAUAAGCGCUGGAAACGGCGUCUAAUACUGGAUAUGUGACGUGACCGCAUGGUCUGCGUCUGGAAAGAAUUUCGGUUGGGGAUGGGCUCGCGGCCUAUCAGCUUGUUGGUGAGGUAAUGGCUCACCAAGGCGUCGACGGGUAGCCGGCCUGAGAGGGUGACCGGCCACACUGGGACUGAGACACGGCCCAGACUCCUACGGGAGGCAGCAGUGGGGAAUAUUGCACAAUGGGCGCAAGCCUGAUGCAGCAACGCCGCGUGAGGGACGACGGCCUUCGGGUUGUAAACCUCUUUUAGCAGGGAAGAAGCGAAAGUGACGGUACCUGCAGAAAAAGCGCCGGCUAACUACGUGCCAGCAGCCGCGGUAAUACGUAGGGCGCAAGCGUUAUCCGGAAUUAUUGGGCGUAAAGAGCUCGUAGGCGGUUUGUCGCGUCUGCUGUGAAAUCCGGAGGCUCAACCUCCGGCCUGCAGUGGGUACGGGCAGACUAGAGUGCGGUAGGGGAGAUUGGAAUUCCUG
rnacentral:rRNA from 2 species